UGGGGGAUAUUGCACAAUGGGCGAAAGCCUGAUGCAGCGACGCCGCGUGGGGGAUGAAGGCCUUCGGGUUGUAAACUUCUUUUGCUCUGAACAAGGCAUGCUAAUGGGUGUGUUGAGUGUAGGGGUUGAUUAGCGUCGGCUAACUACGUGCCAGCAGCCGCGGUAAUACGUAGGGCGCGAGCGUUGUCCGGAAUUAUUGGGCGUAAAGGGCUUGUAGGUGGCUGGUUGCGUCUGUCGUGAAAGCUCAUGGCUUAACUGUGGGUUUGCGGUGGGUACGGGCUGGCUUGAGUGCAGUAGGGGAGGCUGGAAUUCCUGGUGUAGCGGUGGAAUGCGCAGAUAUCAGGAGGAAUACCGGUGGCGAAGGCGGGUCUCUGGGCUGUUACUGACACUGAGGAGCGAAAGCAUGGGGAGCGAACAGG
rnacentral:rRNA from 1 species